rnacentral:rRNA from 1 species
UAGGGAAUAUUGGACAAUGGGCGCAAGCCUGAUCCAGCCAUGCCGCGUGAGUGAAGAAGGCCCUCGGGUUGUAAAGCUCUUUUGUCCGGAAAGAAAAGCAUCGGGUUAAUACCCCGGUGUUCUGACGGUACCGGAAGAAUAAGCACCGGCUAACUUCGUGCCAGCAGCCGCGGUAAUACGAAGGGUGCAAGCGUUACUCGGAAUUACUGGGCGUAAAGCGUGCGUAGGUGGUUCGUUAAGUCUGAUGUGAAAGCCCUGGGCUCAACCUGGGAAUGGCAUUGGAAACUGGCGGACUGGAGUGCGGUAGAGGGUAGCGGAAUUCCCGGUGUAGCAGUGAAAUGCGUAGAGAUCGGGAGGAACAUCCGUGGCGAAGGCGGCUACCUGGACCAGCACUGACACUGAGGCACGAAAGCGUGG